GAAUUGUUCGCAAUGGGCGCAAGCCUGACGACGCAACGCCGCGUGGAGGAUGAAGGUCUUCGGGUCGUAAACUCCUGUUGCCCGGGACGAAUCGCUCCGACCUAAUACGUCGGAGUCUGACGGUACCGGGUGAGGAAGCCCCGGCUACCUCUGUGCCAGCCGCCGCGGUAAUACAGAGGGGGCGAGCGUUGUUCGGAAUUACUGGGCGUAAAGGGCGCGUAGGCGGCCUUUUAAGUCGAACGUGAAAUCCCCGGGCUCAACCCGGGAACUGCGUCCGAGACUGGAAGGCUCGAAUCCGGGAGAGGGAUGUGGAAUUCCAGGUGUAGCGGUGAAAUGCGUAGAUAUCUGGAGGAACAUCGGUGGCGAAGGCGGCAUCCUGGACCGGUAUUGACGCUGAGGCGCGAAAGCCAGGGGAGCAAACGGG
rnacentral:rRNA from 1 species